rnacentral:rRNA from 1 species
UGGGGAAUUUUGGACAAUGGGCGAAAGCCUGAUCCAGCAAUGCCGCGUGUGUGAAGAAGGCCUUCGGGUUGUAAAGCACUUUUGUCCGGAAAGAAAUCCUUGGCUCUAAUACAGUCGGGGGAUGACGGUACCGGAAGAAUAAGCACCGGCUAACUACGUGCCAGCAGCCGCGGUAAUACGCAGGGUGCAAGCGUUAAUCGGAAUUACUGGGCGUAAAGCGUGCGCAGGCGGUUUGCUAAGACCGAUGUGAAAUCCCCGGGCUCAACCUGGGAACUGCAUUGGUGACUGGCAGGCUAGAGUAUGGCAGAGGGGGGUAGAAUUCCACGUGUAGCAGUGAAAUGCGUAGAGAUGUGGAGGAAUACCGAUGGCGAAGGCAGCCCCCUGGGCCAAUACUGACGCUCAUGCACGAAAGCGUGGGGAGCAAACAGGAUUAGAUACCCUGGUAGUCCACGCCCUAAACGAUGUCAACUAGUUGUUGGGGAUUCAUUUCCUUAGUAACGUAGCUAACGCGUGAAGUUGACCGCCUGGGGAGUACGGUCGCAAGAUUAAAACUUAAAGGAAUUGACGGGGUCAUAGCUGUUUCCU